AGUGAACGCUGGCGGUAGGCCUAACACAUGCAAGUCGAACGGCAGCACAGUAAGAGCUUGCUCUUACGGGUGGCGAGUGGCGGACGGGUGAGGAAUACAUCGGAAUCUACUUUUUCGUGGGGGAUAACGUAGGGAAACUUACGCUAAUACCGCAUACGACCUACGGGUGAAAGCAGGGGAUCUUCGGACCUUGCGCGAUUGAAUGAGCCGAUGUCGGAUUAGCUAGUUGGCGGGGUAAGGGCCCACCAAGGCGACGAUCCGUAGCUGGUCUGAGAGGAUGAUCAGCCACACUGGAACUGAGACACGGUCCAGACUCCUACGGGAGGCAGCAGUGGGGAAUAUUGGACAAUGGGCGCAAGCCUGAUCCAGCCAUACCGCGUGGGUGAAGAAGGCCUUCGGGUUGUAAAGCCCUUUUGUUGGGAAAGAAAAGCAGCAGGUUAAUACCCCGCUGUCCUGACGGUACCCAAAGAAUAAGCACCGGCUAACUUCGUG
rnacentral:rRNA from 1 species